CGGAGUGUAGCUCAGUCUGGUAGAGCAUUACUUUCGGGAAGUAAGGGUCGAAGGUUCGAAUCCUUUCACUCCGA
rnacentral:tRNA from 1 species